rnacentral:sRNA from 1 species
AAUUAGCCCCGAUAGUAGCGAUAUCCCGAACCUUUUUUUGGUGAGGAUAAAGCGAAUAGCGGGACUGUUC